UUAAAAUAUUUUACUAGAUUGUAUUUAUGGUUAACAGUAUCUUGCACUACAAUUUAUAUUUAGAUAAUCAUUCAUUUUAAAAUUAUUUAUUGAGCACCUACUAUGUGUUAGGUAUUAGGUACAGAGCAAUGAAUACAGCAAGCACAGUUCCUCACCUCGUGGACCUGACACUGUAGUGUGAGAGAUAAUAAGCAAAUGAUAUAAGGCCAUGCAGUAGUUAAAUGCUAUGAAGAAACAUAAAAUCUGGUACAGGGACAGAGAGUAGGGAGGGAGCUCUUGUUAUAAAGGGUGGCCAGGAAAGACCAAGUUGUGUAGCAGAGGCCUGAAGGAAGCCAGGGACCAAGCCAUAUGAAUUUUCUCAGAUAGGUGUAUUCUAGUUAUAGAGAACAGCAACUGGAACGGUCCUGAGAAGGGAACAUUCCUGGAACAUUCAAGAACUAGCCAAGAGAUCAGCAAGUCUAUAGUAAAAAGAAACAUAGUAGAUAGUCAUCUAGUGUUUUCUUCUCUUCCUUCCUAUUAUCUCUCAUACCAUGUCAUGUUACUUUUCUAAAGGAUCUCAAUGGGGAAGAGAACAUCAUUGUCUUUAAGAUUCAAUUUUUUGUGUAUUGAAAGUCUUCAUGGUCAUUCUUUUGAGAUCAUGACCUACUACAACGUCCCCAGGCCUGCAUCCUCCACAGGCUCCAUGAGCAGAAAAGCAGACGAAUAGAAGAGCAGAGGAACAGAAGAAUAGCAGUGUGGCCGAGCAGCGUGGUAGAGAAAGAGGGAAGAGAAGCAGCAUCUGAAUGUUGAGAGGAGUUUGGCUGGGGACAGUCGGAGAGGAGAUUGGCCGCAGGACGACCCAACUCCAGGGGAGGAACAUCUUCCUACUCCAUUCGCUUCCCCACUCCCCAGCCAUUCCACUGAGAGCCACCUCCAUCUGGCAAUAAAAUCUCUUGCAUUCACUAUCCUUCAAUUUGCCUGUGUGACCUGAUUCUUCCUGGAUGCUGGACAAGAACCCAGCAUCCAGGUACCAAGAGGGCACUGGGCUGGAUAACACUUGAGCUGUCUGUGGACGGCAGAGCUAAAAGAGCACUGUAACAUGCCCACUGGGGCUUUGGGAGUUGCAGGCACCCACCCUGGAUGCUACUACCAUGGGGCUGGAGCCCAAAAGUGUUUGCCCCGCCUCCUGCACCUGCCCGUCUGCAUGCUCCCCCUCCAGUAAGGGGUUUGAGUGCACAGAGGCUGAACAGAUGAGCCACACCCCUGUCACACAUCCUGUGAAGGGGGUUAGGAAACUCUCCCAUUUCAUCUUGACCAUCUUUGAGGGACUAUUGAUGCUUUUGGUAUCAGCAGCCACAGAAUUCAUCAGACACAGCACAAAAGAGCAGGAGAAGAGAUAAUGGCAGAUGCCAGAAGGUUGUCCAGCUGGUUACUACCUCUCCUCUUCACCUGAUUAUACCUGAUUACUGCUGACUCGAUGGGCAGGGAGAGUCGCUGACUCCUGACAGAAAGACUCUGUCACCCCUUGCCAUUUAUUUUAGAUCCUGUGAAUCCUACUGUCAAUGUUGUGACACCUGCAAUGCCUGGGAUGAAGCUGCCCAUGUGGUGAGAUGCAGCCUGUGGAAGCCUCUUUUCAGUGGAGUGAGAGCCAAGCCCCCUUGGCUUUUCAUAGACAAUUGGUGAACGGGACAAGGAGACACUGUCCUUGGAUGUCUGAAAAAAAAAGAAAAAGGUUGCAAAACAUGUUGCCAAUAAGAAUGUUGUAGAUGAAAGGCAGGAUGAAGGAAAGUGGUCUUAAUUUAAAUUCUCUAUUUUACUAAACCUACUCUUUAACAAAUAUGUUUAUGUGAGGCAUCAGAAGCAAAUGUAUUUUGGCUUUUAAGAGAAUUAAAAUUGUUUCCCCUAUUUUUUUAUUUGUUUGCUUUGGUGGCUUUGUGACCAAAAAAAUUGUUUUAAUCCAAAUAGCCACAAUAAAUAAAUAAGCAAAUGAAUAAAAUUCCCAGGUCAUUUGAGAGAAAAGAUUAACUGAAAAGGUAAAGCAUCUCCCCCUUUUUAGUUUCAGUUAAUUAUAGUGUCAGGAUGACUUUUUAACUUACCUGGCAAUCUGGAACCUCAUAGAGUCACUUGCGUUUUCAAAAUUUCCAUGUGAAAACAUGAUUGUGCCAAGUACUCCCUAUUAACUUUUAGACAUCAUCUAUAAAAUCACUACAGGAAAAUAUGGAAAUAUCUGAGAGAUACACAGUGGAUCGCCUCAGAAUAAAUCGUUCCCCAAAUCAUUUUAUGACUGCCUGAGUCGGGACUCAUGGGUCAGAGUAGAGUCAUAGUUAAGGUUUGCAACUGGCUUAGUAGCAAGAGGGGAUAAACAAACUAUCCAGGCUGUUGAACUGUCCAGUUUCGCUACAACUGUAUUUACUUGUUGGGAUCAACUGUUUUCUUUCCUAUUAAGGUAUUAGUAGCCACUGAUAAUGGAAGCCAGGGCCCGCUAGAAAUAGACCAGAGGAAAUUUCCUGACUCACUUGCAUAACAACAGUUCAUCAGCACUGAAGAUAUAUGAAGUGUGACUGCAGAGUAAUGGGAGUGAUUAGGUUUCUCUGCACAACAAAACUCUUACAUACAAAUGAGCACUGUCCCCUUCAGGACAGUCCUCAGGGAACCCGUAUGCUUAUUCCGGUGUGUGAUUGGUCUGGAAGCAUUUUUGGAUGCCCUCUGGACAGAAAGUGCUUUUGGACACUGUUAGUGGUGACAAAGUGUGUCCUUUGAGGAUGGAUUAGAUUGUUGGAAAUGAUACAAUGUAUUCACAGUAUACAUCUGUUGUUUUUGUCUACCCAGAAGCCUCUGUCCAAACUUGUGGUUGGAGAGGCUGUAUUUCUUCUGUCGUUCAUUCUGUCUUUGAAGGCUCUCGAGGAGAAAAUAGCUUUUAAUAUCUCUUGGGAAAUGGCCACAUUUUCCCCUGGCAAUUGAACCCAUGGCUUUCUUGAAUGACUACUCCUCAACCAGGUCUAAGUUGUUUAGGUAGGCUGACUUGACCACCAGUUCCAGAGCACAGACAUGUGACGAGCCUGGCCAUAGUCAUUGAUUCAGGGAUGGACACAUGACUGAAACGGCAUGCUGGCAUUUAGUUCUGGUACUUGGAUUUUAACUGUUGGGAGGAGAAUUUCUCACUCUGCUAUGAUAUAAGCAUGAAGCUACUGGCUUCCACUUGCUGCUACAAAGAGCCUGCUUAAAAAUGGAGCCAACAUAAAAGGAAGCAGAUUUAAGACCUGAGCGAUGAGAGCGUGCACAUGUGUGUAUAUCCACAUAAUGAGACUAAGUCUUGAUUUCUGCACCUUGAUCCAGAUAUACCUGGAGCAGAAACUCUGCUGGGACUCUUUUGUAUCAUGAGCCAGUAACCUCCCUAUUUGCCUAGUAGGUUGAUUUGGGCUUCAAUCUUGCAACCAAGUGAGUCCUGACUAAACCAGCAGAAUGGAGCCAGGUAAGGUUCUUUCUCAAGAAGAGAAGAAGGAAGGUAUCAAGACGUUUAUGACAAAUUUCUACUCAACACUGAGCACCUGCUAAGUGCUGGGCCUAAUAGUCGAGAUGCUGCAAUGAACUAGUCCAUUCAGGAUGCUGAGGUGUUUCAGCCUAGAAGAGACUGCUUUUCUUCCUUUGCUCAUGCAGACUCAGGGGGCCAUUCUCAAGGAGGAGUUAGUGACAGGAAUGUCUUUGGCAAAGACAGCACUCUUGAGUGUGGUCAGAACAUGUUAUUUAUUUCCCAAGAUGAUUAGUUUUUGAAGAAGACAACAAAUAGUUGAGGCUAUGAAUUCUAUCUCUGUAAAAAUAGAGUUAUGUUUUCCUCCUGUAGUCAGAUCUCCUGUGGAACGUGAGUAAACAGGAAUUUCUAUGUAUGGAGCAAGGACAGUAUGGUUAGCACAUAAUACAUGUGUUUAUUUCAGAGCUGGGGAGGACUCCUGACCAGCGUGACACCUAACAUUGGAGUGAAGGGGCAGCAGCCACGUGAAACGGAAUGGGAAAUACUCUUCUCCUACCACCAACUUGGCCACUCUCCAGUGACGAGGUUUCAGAAGCAGUGCAUUUUCAAGUUUCUGCCUCAGAAGAGAUCCAGUUUGGCAUUCUGUCUAAGUUCACUGCACAGAGACGGGUUUGGCUCUGUGAUUCAUCAGAAAUAAGAAAAACAAACACUGUAAAUGGAGAACUUGAAAAAGAGGUGGGCACCAUCUCCCCACCCAAGAGAAUGGAUUUAAGAGGAAAUUUGUUUAUGGGAUGAAGUUUUAAAAGGCGACCUGGAAAAUUUAGCAAAGAUGUAAAUAAACAACUCUUCCUUGGAUUGCAUUAGGCUUCAGAAUAAAUAUAUUAACCAGCUUCAGUCAAAGUCUGCCUAGAAUCUGACCCUGACAAGACCCAGUGACUAGUGCUGCUCCGAACCUUCCCCACCAACAGCAGGCAAUUUUCUCUGUGGCAAAGCUACCUCGAAACAGGCAUCCAGGCUUCCCUCCCACGAAGUGAAGAUGAGAAAACUGAGUCUCAGAAUGGACAAGCUCACAGAUGGCAAGUGGUAGAGCAGACUUCACACAUAGCCAUCUGAGUGAGAUGGGAAGCUGAUCCUCCAGCCCUGAUCAAGCCUUCAAAUGACUGCACCUCCAGCUGACAGAUUACCAAAAGCAACCUCCUUCCAGAAGACCUUGAGCCAAAACCACUCAGCUAAGCUACUUCCAGAUCCCUGAUCCUCGGAAACUGUGCGAGACAAUAAAUGUUUAAAUGGCCACCCACUUUGGAAUAAAGAGGACAUAUAAUUUGCCUAAGGUCACAUAGCACUCUCUAAAUCAGUACAGUAUUUUAGACAAAGCUUCAACUUUGCACUUUUAUGGGUCAUUUUGAUAUAAGACUACAAGGAUAUCUCCUCCCAUGACAAACUUGACUUCAUUUACAACAAAAGGCCAAGCAAGAUACAGUACACUGUGGGGAUAAAUGGUACUCACUGAGGACAGGAAUAUGCUGACAUUAUCUCAAUUUCCUCCUCCCUCCUGUUGUUCUCCUUUGGAUGCUUUCCUGGACUAUAGGGAGAAGGAAAAUAGAGAAAGGCCAACUGCGACUAGGCCAGAGAUCAGAUGUUACCUUGUAGGAAGCAUCUCAUUCUAACCUUAAGUACUCUCUUGAUGAAGUACGGGGCCAAGAGAUUUUGGAAUUCUACCACACAAGGUUGCUCAGCAUUCCAAGAAGUAUUGAUAACUCUUCAAGAGCAAAAGUCAUUUAAAUUAAACUUCUCUGGCCGGGCAUGGUAGCUCAUAUCUGUAAACCCAGCACUUUGGGAGGCUGAGGCUGGAAGAUCACU
rnacentral:lncRNA from 1 species